rnacentral:rRNA from 1 species
AACGAACGCUGGCGGCAUGCCUAACACAUGCAAGUCGAACGAGACCUUCGGGUCUAGUGGCGCACGGGUGCGUAACGCGUGGGAACCUGCCCUUAGGUUCGGAAUAACUCCCCGAAAGGGGUGCUAAUACCGGAUAAUGUCUUCGGACCAAAGAUUUAUUGCCUUUGGAUGGGCCCGCGUUGGAUUAGCUAGUUGGUAGGGUAAAAGCCUACCAAGGCGACGAUCCUUAGCUGGUCUGAGAGGAUGAUCAGCAACACUGGGACUGAGACACGGCCCAGACUCCUACGGGAGGCAGGAGUGGGGAAUAUUGGACAAUGGGCGAAAGCCUGAUCAAGCAAUGCCGCGUGAGUGAUGAAGGCCUUAGGGUUGUAAAGCUCUUUUACCCGGGAUGAUAAUGACAGUACCGGGAGAAUAAGCUCCGGCUAACUCCGUG